rnacentral:rRNA from 1 species
CCUACGGGCGGCAGCAGUGAGGAAUAUUGGUCAAUGGGCGGGAGCCUGAACCAGCCAAGUCGCGUGAAGGAAGAAGGUACUUAGUAUUGUAAACUUCUUUUGUCGGGGAACAAAGGCGGAGACGCGUCUCCGGCUGAGUGUACCCGAAGAAAAAGCAUCGGCUAACUCCGUGCCAGCAGCCGCGGUAAUACGGAGGAUGCGAGCGUUAUCCGGAUUUAUUGGGUUUAAAGGGUGCGCAGGCGGGAGAUCAAGUCAGCGGUAAAAUUUCGGGGCUCAACCCCGGCCGGCCGUUGACACUGGUUUUCUAGAGUUGGAGAGAAGUAUGCGGAAUGCGUGGUGUAGCGGUGAAAUGCAUAGAUAUCACGAAGAACUCCGAUUGCGAAGGCAGCAUACCGGCUCCAUACUGACGCUGAGGCACGAAAGCGUGGGGAUCGAACAGGAUUAGAUACCCCAGUAGUC